CCCCUUCAAAUCCACCUCGUGAGGCCCUAUAUCUAACGUGUCCCUCGGGACUAUGGAUAUAAACGCGCAUGUAAUACACGGAUCGGACCCGGGGGCGGUACCCGGCGACUCCACCAACCAACCAUGCGGUUCGGGCCUUCAUUUGAGGCGCCUAACCGUGGAUUUUGGGGUCGAAAUAGGAUCGACGAACGUCUAAAGAUGUUAGCUUUAUCUCGGUGAGAUACCACCGUUAUCGGUUCACUUAAGCUAGUUGCAAAUGACAACAAAGCUCCGAUGGCUCUGGCAGCGUAAGCUGUUCGAGAAAUCGAAACCUUAAGUCCUUACGCCUAGCAGCGUCUGGCGGGGUCCGCAGGUACCUGGCAACAGAAACCUGCACC
rnacentral:tmRNA from 1 species